GCGGGCGUGGUUCAAUGGUAGAACGGGACCUUGCCAAGGUUCAGACGAGGGUUCGAUUCCCUUCGCCCNNA
rnacentral:tRNA from 1 species